rnacentral:rRNA from 1 species
GAUGAACGCUGGCGGCGUGCCUAAUACAUGCAAGUCGAGCGAACGGACGAGAAGCUUGCUUCUCUGCUGUUAGCGGCGGACGGGCGAGUAACACGUGGAUAACCUACCUAUAAGACUGGGAUAACUUCGGGAAACCGGAGCUACUACUGGAUAAUAUUAUGAACCGCAUGGUUCAAAAGUGAAAGACGGUCUUGCUGUCACUUAUAGGUGGAUCCGCGCUGCAUUAGCUAGUUGGUAAGGUAACGGCUUACCAAGGCAACGAUGCGUAGCCGACCUGAGAGGAUGAUCCGCCACACUGGAACUGAGACACGGUCCAGACUCCUACGGGAGGCAGCAGUAGGGAAUCUUCCGCAAUGGGCGAAAGCCUGACGGAGCAACACCGCGUGAGUGAUGAAGGUCUUCGGAUCGUAAAACUCUUUUAUUAGGAAAGAACAUAUGCGUAAGUAACCGUGCACAUCUUGACGGUACCUAAUCAGAAAGCCCCGGCUAACUACGUG